UAAAUUGCAUUUCAGACUCACCUCUGAGCAUUUGAAUAGUGUAUGAGAAGAAGAGACGUAGACAGAAAUGGCCAAUCAACGUCCCCCACCCAUACACAGGGAGAGACACUUGGAUGGGAGGGCAGCACAUCUUCAUUUUCGGGACACG
ensembl:ncRNA C06E1.12 ncRNA